UGGGGAAUUUUGGACAAUGGGGGAAACCCUGAUCCAGCCAUCCCGCGUGUGCGAUGAACGCCUUCGGGUUGUAAAGCACUUUUGGCAGGAAAGAAACGUCAUGGGUUAAUACCCCGUGAAACUGACGGUACCUGCAGAAUAAGCACCGGCUAACUACGUGCCAGCAGCCGCGGUAAUACGUAGGGUGCAAGCGUUAAUCGGAAUUACUGGGCGUAAAGCGUGCGCAGGCGGUUCGGAAAGAAAGAUGUGAAAUCCCAGAGCUCAACUUUGGAACUGCAUUUUUAACUACCGGGCUAGAGUGUGUCAGAGGGAGGUGGAAUUCCGCGUGUAGCAGUGAAAUGCGUAGAUAUGCGGAGGAACACCGAUGGCGAAGGCAGCCUCCUGGGAUAACACUGACGCUCAUGCACGAAAGCGUGGGGAGCAAACAGG
rnacentral:rRNA from 1 species